UACGUAGGGUGCGAGCGUUGUCCGGAAUUACUGGGCGUAAAGAGCUCGUAGGUGGUUUGUCGCGUUGUUCGUGAAAACUCACAGCUUAACUGUGGGCGUGCGGGCGAUACGGGCGGACUAGAGGUAGGCAGGGGAGAAUGGAAUUCCUGGUGUAGCGGUGGAAUGCGCAGAUAUCAGGAGGAACACCGGUGGCGAAGGCGGUUCUCUGGGCCUUACCUGACGCUGAGGAGCGAAAGCGUGGGGAGCGAACAGG
rnacentral:rRNA from 1 species